rnacentral:rRNA from 1 species
CCUACGGGUUGCAGCAGUGGGGAAUAUUGGACAAUGGGCGAAAGCCUGAUCCAGCCAUGCCGCGUGUGUGAAGAAGGUCUUCGGAUUGUAAAGCACUUUAAGUUGGGAGGAAGGGCAGUAAGUUAAUACCUUGCUGUUUUGACGUUACCAACAGAAUAAGCACCGGCUAACUUCGUGCCAGCAGCCGCGGUAAUACGAAGGGUGCAAGCGUUAAUCGGAAUUACUGGGCGUAAAGCGCGCGUAGGUGGUUCGUUAAGUUGGAUGUGAAAGCCCCGGGCUCAACCUGGGAACUGCAUCCAAAACUGGCGAGCUAGAGUAUGGCAGAGGGUGGUGGAAUUUCCUGUGUAGCGGUGAAAUGCGUAGAUAUAGGAAGGAACACCAGUGGCGAAGGCGACCACCUGGGCUAAUACUGACACUGAGGUGCGAAAGCGUGGGGAGCAAACAGGAUUAGAUACCCUAGUAGUC